rnacentral:rRNA from 1 species
CCAAUAGCGUAUAUUAAAGUUGUUGCAGUUAAAAAGCUCGUAGUUGAAUUUCGAGACCGGUUUACUGGUCGUGCUUUUGUACGUACUGGUAUAAUCGGUUUCUCUCUUCUGACGAACUAUAAUGCCAUUAAUUUGGUGUUUUAGGGAAUCAGGACUGUUACUUUGAAAAAAUUAGAGUGUUUAAAGCAGGCUCACGCUUG